GACCCCAUAGCUCAGUUGGUAGAGCAUUCGUCUAGAUAGCGAAAGGCCCCCCAGUUUAAGCCUGGAUGGAGGCA
rnacentral:tRNA from 1 species